AUUGAACGCUGGCGGCAGGCCUAACACAUGCAAGUCGAGCGGAUGAAGGGAGCUUGCUCCUGGAUUCAGCGGCGGACGGGUGAGUAAUGCCUAGGAAUCUGCCUGGUAGUGGGGGAUAACGUCCGGAAACGGGCGCUAAUACCGCAUACGUCCUGAGGGAGAAAGUGGGGGAUCUUCGGACCUCACGCUAUCAGAUGAGCCUAGGUCGGAUUAGCUAGUUGGUGGGGUAAAGGCCUACCAAGGCGACGAUCCGUAACUGGUCUGAGAGGAUGAUCAGUCACACUGGAACUGAGACACGGUCCAGACUCCUACGGGAGGCAGCAGUGGGGAAUAUUGGACAAUGGGCGAAAGCCUGACCCAGCAAUGCCGCGUGUGUGAAGAAGGUCUUCGGAUUGUAAAGCACUUUAAGUUGGGAGGAAGGGAAGUAAGUUAAUACCUUGCUGUUUUGACGUUACCAACAGAAUAAGCACCGGCUAACUUCGUG
rnacentral:rRNA from 1 species